GACGAACGCUGGCGGCGUGCCUAAUACAUGCAAGUAGAACGCUGAAGAGAGGAGCUUGCUCUUCUUGGAUGAGUUGCGAACGGGUGAGUAACGCGUAGGUAACCUGCCUUGUAGCGGGGGAUAACUAUUGGAAACGAUAGCUAAUACCGCAUAACAAUGGAUGACACAUGUCAUUUAUUUGAAAGGGGCAAUUGCUCCACUACAAGAUGGACCUGCGUUGUAUUAGCUAGUAGGUGAGGUAAUGGCUCACCUAGGCGACGAUACAUAGCCGACCUGAGAGGGUGAUCGGCCACACUGGGACUGAGACACGGCCCAGACUCCUACGGGAGGCAGCAGUAGGGAAUCUUCGGCAAUGGGGGCAACCCUGACCGAGCAACGCCGCGUGAGCGAAGAAGGGUUUCGGAUCGUAAAGCUCUGUUGUAAGUCAAGAACGGGUGUGAGAGUGGAAAGUUCACACUGUGACGGUAGCUUACCAGAAAGGGACGGCUAACUACGUG
rnacentral:rRNA from 1 species